GCCUGUGUGUGAGCAAAUGGCUCUCCUGGCCUGCCUCUUCUCUCCACUCGCCGCUGAUGGAUUAACGCUCUGGACAGGUUUCAGCCCUAUUGAUCCCACCUGCCACGCUGCUCCCAUCAGGCUGCAGUGUGUUUGUUUGUGUGCGGACGGACGGACGAGACAGAAGCGGGGGACAAUGGGAGGCCUGGUCGAGGUUAUCUAGAGCGAGGCCGCAGUGCAGGACUUUGCACAGUUGCUCUGAAGAGCUGCAGGAGGGAUUACAUGACUGACGUUUUUAUGAGAUGAAGCUAACCACAACUGCUGAGGCGAGACAGCAAACCUGCAAUCAGGAAAAUAGCAAGACACAAUGUAUUGAAAUAGUAUUAUAAUCAGAAGAUAAAGACUGAGCGUUGUGCUUCCCUCGUUCCGGUGCCGCUGUGGCUCCGGGUGAUAGAGUUCUUCUGCUGCCGUCGGAAGCGCCCGUCCUCACUUCCACCCGUGUCUCAGAGCGUCCUUGGACGAGAGACGCUGCGAUCAGCGGGCGACUGAAGAAGACAAAGCUCUGCAUAGAUGCAGAAACGCUUGUAGAAUAGAAAGAAGAGCAAAGCGAUUGACGUUGUGGAGCAAAAGCCUCCAUGAAAAAGCUGCAU